UUAGAGCAUGAUGAACCCAGCCGUUAGCAGGAAGGCGGCACAACAACGUCAGCGGCGCACCUACAGAGUGAGAAGAGAUAUUUUCGCUGAGUACGACGAUGCUGAGUUACUGAAAAGAUUCAGAUUGGACCGUGCUGGUAUUGUUGCAGUGACUGAUAUAGUGAGAGACAAGCUGCAAAGUAAAACUGAAAGAAAUAGAGCCUUGACCCCUGAGAUGGUGGCCAUCACAUUACGAUAUUUAGCCACAGGAAAAAUGCAACAGUGCAGUUGUGAUGAUUUUGGAACAACGCAGCCCACUAUCAGCCGUGCAAUAUCACAGACAAUUGAUGCACUGGCUGACCCAGAAGUAAUCUGCCAGUUCGUGGCUUUCCCUCACACCCAGCGUGAAGUGCAGCAAAAACAGGCAGAGUUCAUGCAAGUAACUCAGUUUCCCGGUGUUGUGGGAGUGAUUGAUGGUACUCAUAUAAGAAUUGUGUCUCCUCAUGUCGAUGAACAUGUAUAUGUGAACAGGAAACGCUAUCACAGCAUAAAUGUGCAAGUAGUAUUUGAUGCUCACUAUAAGAUUCUUGACAUUGUGGCAAGGUGGCCUGGCUCAGUCAACGAUGCAAGAAUACUAGAUAAGUCAGCACUCAAACUGAUGUUUGAGGAACAACAUGUACCUGCAGGAUGCUACCUUCCCGGGGACAGUGGCUAUCCCUGUAAGCAGUGGCUCCUCACUCCUUACCUUCGCCCUCAAACUGUUGCACAAGCUAAUUAUAACAGUUCCAGUACCUUACGAUGCAGCCGAGGGGACUGACGCCACCACCACCACUGCCACCACCGCCACAACAAGGGUUAUUCAAAUGGGGAACAUGCUUCAGGUGUUGCCCCAAGAUGCCUCAGCCCCGCAGCCCCACUUCCCCAUGAUAGUGCAGGCAGGGAAUGUCAUACAGGUUGUUCCAGCUGACAACACGCAGGUAUUAGGGGCAGAAGUCGUUGGAGUUGGUCGGGUCAUGCAAGUGGUCGGAGUCCCAGGCUUUCCCCCGACCCCAGCCCCAGACCCCUGCCCCAGCCACCCCUCUCCCUGUGACCCCUGCCCAGUCAUCCCUCACCCCCUCCUGCCCCCCUGCGGUGCUGCCAGCGGGGGUGAUGGGAGGUGGAGGUGGGCCACACACACCUGGGUUAGCUGUGGCUUGGCUUAUCUCCCUCCUCAGCAGCAAAUCCCGAGGAUCAACGAGGACAUGGUGGACCCAGAGAUUGCAGCAGCAGCAAGAGAGAGAGAGAGAAGCAAGAGAGGAGGGAGAGGAAGGAGAGGAGGAGGAGAGAGAGGGAGGCCAGGAGGGAGGCACGUCAGAGAGAGAGGGAGAGGAAGAGGUUGAUUCUGUUACAACAACAACUGCAACAACAACAACAGUUAGUCAGUGAGGAGGGGGAGGGGCCGUCCUCUGAUGCUGAGGAUGAGGUAUUGUUCAGGGAGGCCAUGUCGGAGGUGCCGGUGGUGGGGUCGCCAGUUCCGGAGUACGAGGUGGAGGAGGAAAAGGAAGAGGAGGACGAGGAGGAGGCACGGAUAAGGAAGAAGAAAAGAUUAUUACCUGUAGCCCUCCCUCCAGCUGAUAAGGGGAUAUUAAGGAGCCCUUCCUACAGGUUCGUUCGAUGCAAGGAGUUGGCACAGGAGGCGUCCGAGGCUGUGUAGAGCGGCCGUCUGAACCUGGUGCCACAGCUUACUAUGUUCAACAGGUGCGUGUGUGUGUGUGUGUGUGUGUGUGUGUGUGUGUGUGUGUGUGUGUGUGUGUGUGUUUUGUGUGGUCAUUUCACUAUCUAUCUAUCUGUUUAGUUUGUCUCCAUCUGUCUGUCUUUCUGUCAUUGGUCUGUCUGUCUGUCUGUGUAUUGCAAUGAUUUUUCAGUUAUGUAUUUUAUUUUUUAUUCUUGUGUACUUGUGUCUGUCUGUAUGUAUGUAUGUAUCAGUCAGUGAGUCAGUCAGUCAGUCACUCAGUUAGUCAGUCAUUCAGUCAGUCAGUUAGUCAGUCAUUCAGUCAGUUAGUGAGUUAGUCAGUUAGUCAGUCUGUCAGUCACUCACACAGUGUUAAUCCUCCUCUUCCUCCUCCUCCUCCUCCUCCUCCUCCUCCUCCUCCUCCUCCUCCUCCUCCUCCUCCUCCUCCUCCUCCUCCUCGUCCACCUCCUCCUCCUCCUCCUCCUCCUCCUCCUCCUCCUCCUCCUCCUCCUCCUCCUCCUCCUCCUCCUCCUCCUCCUGUUCCCCACCACCCCUGCCAAGAGGUGAGUGUAUGUACGUGUGUGUGUGUGUGUGUGUGUGUGUGUGUGUGUGUGUAGUAAUAAUAGUAAUGCUAUGUACAUAUAUAAAUACUGUUAAUAUUAUUGAUAAAAAAUAUUGAUGAUGAUGAUGAUGAUGAUUCAGUGGUGAUUAUGAAAAUGUGCAUUACAAUAUAGGGUAGAUAUUAUUGUUAUUACCUGUGUGUGUGUGUGUGUGUGUGUGUGUGUGUGUGUGUGUGUGUGUGUGUGUGUGUGUGUGUGUGUGUAUGUGUGUGUGUGAGGAAUAAUUGAAUAAUUGAAUAAUUGAUGCUCUCUCCUUUGCUAUUCAUUAUAUACAUGGACAGAUGCCUGAAGGAAGUGUGUGUAAGGGAGGAUAAAGAGAUCAUGCUGGCCUAUGCAGACGAUGUCGCUGUCGUGACAGGAAGCCAACAAGAUCUUCAAGAGGCCAUGACAAGAUGGAAUGAUGUUUUAAAUAGGGAAGGAAUGAGAAUGAACAAACAAAAAACUUAUUUACUAGUGGACAAGCAACAAGUGAUGGUGUGGCUCUGAGCCACUGUAGUAGGGAUGUUAUGGUUUAAGUGUAGGAAGUUGCAAAUGCUCACCUAACAAUUGCACCUUAGUAGAAAAACACAAACAGGAAGUUUAUGCAAGUUUUUAUCCUUAUAUAAAAUGUUGUAUUGCAUCAAACCUCCAUACAUUACUGUCUCUAUCCAGUAUGAGACCGGUGUUCAGGAAGCACAAGCAUGUGCUGAAUAACAAGAAGCCGGCAUUGGUGAAGGUGACAACAUUUCAUCUAUUUAUACAUACUUUUUAUUAUUAAAGCUUAUCUUAUAAUUAUUUCUGAAGAGAUUGACUAAUUUUUGUAGUAUUUAUGACUUAGAACUACGAGUAUGAUAAAGCUAUGAAUUGAUAUAAUUCCUGAUUUGUUUUAUCUUUUCAUUAUCCUUCCUUUGUUAAUUGAGCAUUUUAUAUUACUUAGCUUAAAAAUGCAAGAACGGUUCAGAAGUAUCCAACCUUGGGCUAAGGGCCAAAAUUAUGGUAUCAUUCAAAAUGUCCUUCAAAGAAAGCCCUCUGUAAUCCAACACACUUAGCCCAUUAAUCCUUCCAUUUCUCAUCAAUUUGUUCAACAUUCAUAUUUUUCCCUUAUAGGGUUGAACAAUUUUCAUGGGUUCAGAGCAAAAGGCUUCCUCAUUCCUCCCCAAGGUAUUCUCGGAUGGUAAGCAGGUUUGACUCUGGAGCAAACCUGACCAAGGGCUACUGCCCAAGGCUACAGAGGUUCCUCUCCCUGAGGCUGAAUGCACCAUGUGAGAUGGUUCUGUUAUGUGGAUGAAUGUCAUGGUGGAUAGCAGUGCCACCACAUUCCUACAAUCAUCCAUCACUCCACUGCUCAAACGCUUCUGCAACCAAUGAUAGGUAUGCUGCCACAUUCUGCAUGGUCUCCUUGGCUCUCAGAUAAGGAUACUGUCAACAGGUUUGGGAUUGCCAAAAAAUCAUAAGGAGCUAUAUCUGAAAAGUCCAGAGAGAGAGAGAGAGAGAAAGAAUGAGCAAGAGAAAGAGUAGGAUGAAGCAAAGGAAGAGUCAAGAGGGAGGAAGAGAGAGUAGGACAAGAAAAAACAGAACAAAUAAAUCCCCUACACGUCUUGUCUCCAUUCACACAAGCCAUGAAAAGCUUGUCCAUCCCUGAGUGCUCAGAAGCAGUGUUCCACUGAUGAUGUGGAAACUUGAGACACCCAAUCAUUUAAUGGGCUUUAGUAGGUUUUGUCACCAGUCUUCUGUGUGUCACUGACUACAUUUUGAAAUUUUUAUCUGUUCUAUUUAAUUUUGUGUGUAUGUACACAAUGUUUAUGGUCAAUAAACUAUUUAUAAAACUAUUUAUCUGUGUGAGUAAGAUAAAAGCAGUUAUUGUUAUUAUUAUUAUUAUUAUUAUUAUUAUUAUUAUUAUUAUUACACAUUUUCCUCCUUGUAUUUAAAUAUUAUUAUUAUUAUUAUUAUUAUUAUUAUUAUUAUCAUGAAUUGUUCUUGUUUAUAAAUAAAAUACUGUAACUGA